GACAGAGGUGGCGAGCGUUGUUCGGAUUUACUGGGCGUAAAGCGCACGUAGGCGGCCGGGCAAGUCGGGUGUGAAAUCCCUCUGCUCAACGGAGGAAUGGCGCUCGAAACUGCUCGGCUCGAGGAUAGGAGAGGAGAGUGGAAUUCCCGGUGUAGCAGUGAAAUGCGUAGAUAUCGGGAGGAACACCAGUGGCGAAGGCGGCUCUCUGGACUAUUCCUGACGCUGAAGAGCGAAAGCGUGGGGAGCGAACAGG
rnacentral:rRNA from 1 species